UUUAAUAUGGCAGAUUAAGUGCAAUGAAUUUAAACUUCAUAUAUAAAGAAUUAUUUCUUUUAUUAAAA
rnacentral:tRNA from 1 species